rnacentral:rRNA from 1 species
UACGGGGGGUGCGAGCGUUGUCCGGAAUCACUGGGCGUAAAGGGCGCGUAGGUGGUUUGAUAAGGGUGUGGUGAAAGUCCGGGGCUCAACCCCGGAUCUGCCGUGCCGACUGUCAAACUCGAGGACUGUAGAGGCAGACGGAAUUCCGGGUGUAGCGGUGGAAUGCGUAGAGAUCCGGAGGAAGACCGGUGGCGAAGGCGGUCUGCUGGGCAGUUCUGACACUGAGGCGCGACAGCGUGGGGAGCAACAGGG